rnacentral:rRNA from 1 species
GAUGAACGCUGGCGGCGUGCCUAAUACAUGCAAGUCGAGCGAACGGACGAGAAGCUUGCUUCUCUGAUGUUAGCGGCGGACGGGUGAGUAACACGUGGAUAACCUACCUAUAAGACUGGGAUAACUUCGGGAAACCGGAGCUAAUACCGGAUAAUAUUUUGAACCGCAUGGUUCAAAAGUGAAAGACGGUCUUGCUGUCACUUAUAGAUGGAUCCGCGCUGCAUUAGCUAGUUGGUAAGGUAACGGCUUACCAAGGCAACGAUGCAUAGCCGACCUGAGAGGGUGAUCGGCCACACGGGAACUGAGAAACGGUCCAGACUCCUACGGGAGGCAGCAGUAGGGAAUCUUCCGCAAUGGGCGAAAGCCUGACGGAGCAACGCCGCGUGAGUGAUGAAGGUCUUCGGAUCGUAAAACUCUGUUAUUAGGGAAGAACAUAUGUGUAAGUAACUGUGCACAUCUUGACGGUACCUAAUCAGAAAGCCACGGCUAACUACGU